rnacentral:rRNA from 1 species
AUGAAUCUGGCCGCCCCCGUCUCCACCUCCACCUCCACGGCCGUCCCUCUCCAUGCCCAUGGGCUCAUGCCAUUAAACCUCGCCUCCGCCUCCUCCUCCUCGCUCCGUCGCUCCCUCUUCGCCUCCCUCCGGAAGAAGAUCUCGCCGAUGGCAUCCGCCCCCGCCUCCGCCUCCGCGGCCCUCUCCACCGCCGCCCCCGCCGACAACGGCGCCGCCAAGCCCGCGGAGCAGCGGCCCGUGCAGGUGGCGAAGCGGUUGGAGAAGUUUAAAACAACAAUUUUCACACAGAUGAGCAUGCUUGCAGUGAAGCAUGGAGCAAUAAACCUUGGUCAGGGCUUUCCCAAUUUUGAUGGCCCUGACUUUGUAAAAGAAGCUGCUAUUGAGGCUAUCAAGGCUGGGAAAAAUCAGUAUGCAAGAGGGUAUGGUGUGCCUGAACUGAACUCAGCUGUUGCUGAAAGAUUUCUCAAGGACAGUGGAUUGCAGAUCGAUCCAGAUAAGGAAGUUACUGUUACAUCUGGGUGCACAGAAGCAAUAGCUGCAACGAUAUUGGGUCUGAUCAACCCUGGGGAUGAAGUGAUCUUGUUUGCUCCGUUCUAUGAUUCUUAUGAGGCUACACUGUCCAUGGCUGGUGCGAAUGUCAAAGCCAUUACACUCCGCCCUCCGGACUUUGCAGUCCCUCUUGAAGAGCUAAAGGCCGCAGUCUCAAAGAACACCAGAGCAAUAAUGAUCAACACACCUCACAACCCUACCGGGAAAAUGUUUACAAGGGAGGAGCUUGAAUUCAUUGCUGAUCUCUGCAAGGAAAAUGACGUGUUGCUCUUUGCUGAUGAGGUCUACGACAAGCUGGCGUUCGAGGCGGAUCAUAUAUCAAUGGCUUCUAUUCCCGGCAUGUAUGAGAGGACCGUCACCAUGAACUCUCUGGGGAAGACGUUCUCCUUGACCGGAUGGAAGAUCGGCUGGGCGAUAGCACCGCCGCACCUAACAUGGGGCGUGAGGCAGGCGCACUCCUUCCUCACAUUCGCCACCUCCACGCCGAUGCAAUCAGCAGCGGCGGCAGCCCUGAGAGCUCCCGACAGCUACUUUGAGGAGCUGAAGCGGGACUACGGCGUGAAGAAAGCACUCCUGGUCGACGGGCUCAAGGCCGCGGGCUUCAUCGUCUACCCUUCGAGCGGGACCUACUUCGUGAUGGUCGACCACACCCCGUUCGGGUUCGACAACGACAUCGAGUUCUGCGAGUACCUGAUCCGCGAGGUGGGCGUGGUGGCCAUCCCGCCGAGCGUGUUCUACCUGAACCCCGAGGACGGGAAGAACCUGGUGAGGUUCACCUUCUGCAAGGACGACGGCACGCUGAGGGCCGCGGUGGACCGGAUGAAGGCCAAGCUGAGGAAGAAAUGA